GGGCGAAAGCCUGACGCAGCAACGCCGCGUGUGGGAUGAAGGUCUUCGGAUUGUAAACCACUUUUCGGGGGGAAGAGGAAGGACGGUACCCCCGGAAUAAGUCUCGGCUAACUACGUGCCAGCAGCCGCGGUAAU
rnacentral:rRNA from 1 species